GACGAACGCUGGCGGCGUGCUUAACACAUGCAAGUCGAACGGAAAGGCCCUGCUUUUGUGGGGUGCUCGAGUGGCGAACGGGUGAGUAACACGUGAGUAACCUGCCCUUGACUUUGGGAUAACUUCAGGAAACUGGGGCUAAUACCGGAUAGGAGCUCCUGCUGCAUGGUGGGGGUUGGAAAGUUUCGGCGGUUGGGGAUGGACUCGCGGCUUAUCAGCUUGUUGGUGGGGUAGUGGCUUACCAAGGCUUUGACGGGUAGCCGGCCUGAGAGGGUGACCGGCCACAUUGUGACUGAGAUACGGCCCAGACUCAUACGGGAGGCAGCAGUGGGGAAUAUUGCACAAUGGGCGGAAGCCUGAUGCAGCAACGCCGCGUGCGGGAUGACUGCCUUCGGGCUGUAAACCGCUUUCGCCUGUGACGAAGCGUGAGUGACGGUAAUGGGUAAAGAAGCACCGGCUAACUACGUG
rnacentral:rRNA from 1 species